rnacentral:rRNA from 1 species
CGAUUAAGGGCGCGCGGUGGAUGCCUAGGCUCUCGGAGGCGAAGAAGGACGCGAUAAGCCGCGAUAGUCCACGGCGAGGUGCAAGUAACCCUUGACCCGUGGGUUUCCGAAUGGGGCAACCCGGCCGUCUAGAUGACGGUCAUACCGUGAGGUAAGCGAACGCGGGGAACUGAAACAUCUCAUUACCCGCAGGAGAAGAAAACAAAAU